rnacentral:rRNA from 1 species
GCAUAGGAAUCUACCUAGUAGUAUGGGAUAGCCACUGGAAAUGGUGGGUAAUACCGUAUAAUCCCUGCGGGGGAAAGAUUUAUCGCUAUUAGAUGAGCCUAUGUCGGAUUAGCUAGUUGGUGGGGUAAUGGCCUACCAAGGCAGUGAUCUGUAGCUGGUCUGAGAGGAUGAUCAGCCACACUGGAACUGAGACACGGUCCAGACUCCUACGGGAGGCAGCAGUGGGGAAUAUUGGACAAUGGGCGCAAGCCUGAUCCAGCUAUGCCGCGUGAGUGAGGAAGGCCUUAGGGUUGUAAAACUCUUUCAGUAGGGAAGAUAAUGACGGUACCUACAGAAGAAGUCCCGGCAAACUCCGUGCCAGCAGCCGCGGUAAUACGGAGGGGGCAAGCGUUGUUCGGAAUUAUUGGGCGUAAAGGGCAUGUAGGCGGUUUGGUAAGUUAAAGGUGAAAUACCAGGGCUCAACCCUGGGGCUGCUUUUAAUACUGCAGGACUAGAGUCCGGAAGAGGAUAGCGGAAUUCCUAGUGUAGAGGUGAAAUUCGUAGAUAUUAGGAGGAACACCAGUGGCGAAGGCGGCUGUCUGGUCCGGUACUGACGCUGAGGUGCGAAAGCGU